rnacentral:rRNA from 1 species
ACAAGUACCGUGAGGGAAAGUUGAAAAGUACUUUGAAGAGAGAGUUAAGAGGAUGUGAAACCGAUGAGGUGGAAACGGAUAGAGCCAACAUUCUGGCCUGUAUUCAGCGUUUUGCUAAAGCAAAUCGUGCACUUGCAGGUGGAGAGCGCUGAGAGGCACUUUUGUCUUCUACGGUUUCUUGGCUUGUGUACGUCUAUCGUACCCGCCUCGAUUCUUGUCUUAGACCUUGGUGUUCUAACGGUCCUUGGAUUCCUCCGGCUAGUUGUUCUACUAGGUGACGGUUAUCGCGUGCGAUUUACCUAAUCUAGUACACUUCCUGUCGGUAGGUUUCCUUGGAUCAUCUCGGUGUAAAGUUGGUCAUCUAUCCGACCCGUCUUGAAACACGGACCAAGGAGUUUAGCGUAUGCGCGAGUCAAUGGAAUUUGAAAUCCACAGGCGUAAUGAAAUUAAUGUGUGGGAUCUAGCAGAUACUUGCUAGCGCACCACAGCCCUGCAGAUAUCCUUGUGAUGCUGUGGAGGCAGAGCGCAUGCGAUGAGACCCGAAAGAUGGUGAACUAUUCCUGAGCAGGACGAAGCCGGGGGAAACUCCGGUGGAAGUCCGAAGCGGUUCUGACGUGCAAAUCGAUCGUCUGACUUGGGUAUAGGGGCGAAAGACUAAUCGAACUAUCUAGUAGCUGGUUCCUUCCGA